rnacentral:rRNA from 1 species
AACGCUAGCUACAGGCUUAACACAUGCAAGUCGAGGGGAAACGACAUCGAAAGCUUGCUUUUGAUGGGCGUCGACCGGCGCACGGGUGAGUAACGCGUAUCCAACCUGCCCACCACUUGGGGAUAACCUUGCGAAAGUAAGACUAAUACCCAAUGAUAUCCCACGAAGGCAUCCGAAUGGGAUUAAAGAUUUAUCGGUGAUGGAUGGGGAUGCGUCUGAUUAGCUUGUUGGCGGGGUAACGGCCCACCAAGGCGACGAUCAGUAGGGGUUCUGAGAGGAAGGUCCCCCACAUUGGAACUGAGACACGGUCCAAACUCCUACGGGAGGCAGCAGUGAGGAAUAUUGGUCAAUGGGCGAGAGCCUGAACCAGCCAAGUAGCGUGCAGGAAGACGGCCCUAUGGGUUGUAAACUGCUUUUAUAGGGGAAUAAAGUGAGCCACGUGUGGUUUUUUGCAUGUACCCUAUGAAUAAGGACCGGCUAAUUCCGUGCCAGCAGCCGCGGUAAUACGGAAGGUCCGGGCGUUAUCCGGAUUUAUUGGGUUUAAAGGGAGCGUAGGCCGGAGAUUAAGCGUGUUGUGAAAUGUAGACGCUCAACGUCUGCACUGCAGCGCGAACUGGUUUCCUUGAGUACGCAUAAAGUGGGCGGAAUUCGUGGUGUAGCGGUGAAAUGCUUAGAUAUCACGAAGAACUCCGAUUG